UCAGAGGAGAAGACUGCAGAAGAGAAUGGGGACAGUGAAAUGGACAAAAGUAAUGAAACAAGUGCUGGCUCUCAAGGAGAAUGCAAGCAUGCUGGGGAUGGAGAUCAUGACAGGAAAUCUCCUAAUGACAAGAAGAGCUCUAAUGGAACUGGAGCAGCUGUUGCAAAACCUCUCAGUAGGCCUGCGCAAACACACUCAGCUCCUGAAAGCACCAGCCCAGCAGUGAGCCCCAGUGCGGACAUAACCUCUUAUAACCCCAUCACACACAUGCCUAAUGGUUUAGUCAAACCGCACAGCAUCUCAUCCACAUUGGAUUGGGAGGAGGAAUUAAGAUACUGGAGGUGUACUGCCAACAGACGGUGCUAAUGGGUCUGUGGGUGUAGACCAGCGAGGUCGUUCCGCCCCUGUGGCACGCACAAACACUUUCUCUCUCACAUUAGCACAGACCCCAAAUAAUCCCCUGCUUUGCAAGGAUGAACCCAUUGCUUCUCCUGGGUUAUGUGUCACCUCUGCUCGCCUUGAACCAGCAGUCUAAUUUGCAUUCACGUGAUGCCAAGCUUCCUUCAAAGUUCAGCAAGAAGGUGUUCCAGAUGUUUGAAUGUUUCUGCAGCCGGUGAUCUUCGCGCCAAACUAGGCAGCUAUUCUCAGGCGUAUGGGACUAUUAGCAAAAGUGGAUUGGAUCUUCUUAGGAAUUGCCACUAAGGUGUGAAGUGUGAGAUUCGUGGAGAGAUCAUGAGGCAGGUAGACGGUCGUUGGAAUCUCCCAGAUCAAAUAGAAAUGGUGGAUUUCACAUGACAAGCUAAUUACACCAUCAUCACAUGCUUUGAAGAUUAUCGCCAUUGUGGAUUAGU